GCGGGGCGUCCCCGAGGCCCGCGCCCCGCCUCUUCCCUGCCCCGCGCCCCGCCCCCUGCAGCCCAGGGCUUUGAGCCUGGGUCCGGGUAGCGGGAGGUGGGAUCUUCGGGAGCGCAGGGAACGCUGGGAGCCGCGCGAUGACUCUUUUGAGCGUGCGAAAGCCGCCGGCUCGGAAGAAAUCCCCCUCCUCCAGCACUGUACAUUACAGAGGAAAUCAUUCGUGAAAAGAAGAGUUCAUCAAUGCAGCAAACUUCAUUGCUUUAUUUUAAGAAAUGACCACAGCCACUCCAACCUUCAGCAACCACCACUCAGAUGAGUCAGCAGCCAUUAACAUCAAAGCAAGACCCUCUACCAGCAGAAAGAUUUCAACUCGCUGAAAGCUCUGGUGAUG